ACCAAGUCUAGAGGAUGAAUUUGGUUCCUCAUGGUGUAUGGCUCAGAUGCCAAAUCAACAGUUGUGGUGAUCAAUGGCUUGUCAAUGCUAUUGUAUUAUGGAAACACCUCAUACAACU
rfam:Helianthus annuus linkage group 1, whole genome shotgun sequence.